CGGACGGGUGAGUAACGCGUGAGAAUCUGCCUUGAGGUCGGGGACAACAGUUGGAAACGACUGCUAAUACCGGAUGAGCUGAGAAGUAAAAGAUUUAUCGCCUCAAGAGGAGCUCGCGUCUGAUUAGCUAGAUGGUGGGGUAAAAGCCUACCAUGGCGACGAUCAGUAGCUGGUCUGAGAGGAUGAGCAGCCACACUGGGACUGAGACACGGCCCAGACUCCUACGGGAGGCAGCAGUGGGGAAUUUUCCGCAAUGGGCGCAAGCCUGACGGAGCAAUACCGCGUGAGGGAGGAAGGCUCUUGGGUUGUAAACCUCAAAACUUAGGGAAGAAAAAAAUGACGGUACCUAAUAUAAGCAUCGGCUAACUCCGUGCCAGCAGCCGCGGUAAUACGGAGGAUGCAAGCGUUAUCCGGAAUCAUUGGGCGUAAAGCGUCCGUAGGUGGCAUUUAAAGUCUGCUGUCAAAGACCGAAGCUCAACUUCGGGCCGGCGGUGGAAACUGAAAAGCUAGAGUAUAGUAGGGGUAGAGGGAAUUCCUAGUGUAGCGGUGAAAUGCGUAGAGAUUAGGAAGAACACCAGUGGCGAAGGCGCUCUACUGGGCAUAUACUGACACUGAGGGACGAAAGCUAGGGGAGCGAAAGGGAUUAGAUACCCCUGUAGUC
rnacentral:rRNA from 1 species